GUUCUUUUUGGAGGCACUUAGAGCUGUGAAUUUUCUUCUUAGCACUGCUUUCAUUGUGUCUCAUAAGUUUUGGUAUGUUAUGCCUUCAUGUAUAAUAUGGUUUUGAUCCACAUUGGAUAUCAUAUUUUGUAAUUCCAAGCAACUACUUGACAUUAUAGAUAGAAUUUUCUUCCUUUAUCUUUUGAAGUAGUUUCCUUUAAGAAUGUAUUUGAAGGAUUUUUCUAAGUCUUUGUUCUAUUUUGUGUGUAAAGUGUCUCCUGUUUAGGUGGAAAGGCAGGCUUAUCAUUGAUUUUUAUUUCUAUAAGCCCACUUGAGGAUAUUUGUUGUUGUUAUCAUUUUGCCUACAUCUACAAAUGGUAAUGUAAUUUUUAACAUUCUUUACUGUUGCUUUUCCUACUUCUCUGAAUCUUGAUUUACACAAUAGUGUAUGCAUGACACCAAUCCAGUACUACUGUUUAGCAGAAAUGUUCACAUAAGUUUAUAAAAUAUCUGUUAUGUUACUACUCUUGCUAUGUAUUAUGUGACAUACAUUAUAACUGUUCAAGUUUUUGUGUGUUAGAAAAUUUACAAAUUAAUUUCAUGUAUAUUACAGAAAAUGCAUAGUUUGGGAAAUUGAUACCUUAGACCCACUUUAUGGUCAAGAAAAGUAAGCAUGAAUUAUUUUACCAAAAAAAAAAAAAAGUCACACUAUUAUUGGUCUAAUGUUCCCCAAAUACAAAGCUUCAUACAAGAUUUUGUAGUGACCAAAAACUUAUAAGGAUUUUAUUAGCUUGGAUUUGCUUUCUUUUACAAAACCUCUGUCUUAAGAAAAUUAUCAAAUCUUUCAAGAAAAUUAUCAAAUAUUAGGGAGAGGUAUUUUAUUAUUACAAGAUGAAUAGCCAGCCAAUGAUGGUGCACAUCUUUCUUUCAUCAUUUUGUUUCCAUUUCAAAUUGGCCCCCUUCUUGGUCUACCCUCCAUGAGCCUCCCACCCCAAACUGCUUCCCUUGACCUCUAAGAGGGUGCUCUCCACCCACUCCCACCUCACCACUCUACAGUUCCCUUACACUGGGGCAUCAAGCCUUUACAAGAGCAAGCAUAUCCCCCCACCCCCACUUAGGCCAAACCAGGCAGUCCUCAACUACAUAUGUAGGGGUGGGGGAAUGACCAGUUCAUGUAUGCUCUUUGGUUGAUGGCUUAGUCUCUGGGAGCUGUGACAGAUCCAGUUAGUUGAUGCUAUUGUUCUUCCUAUGAGGUUGCAAUCCCCUUCAGCUUCUUCAGUCCUUACCCUAGCUCUUCCAUAGGGGUAUCCGGGCUUAGUCCAAUGGUUGGCUGUAAUUAUCUGCAUUGUUUAGGCAUUGUUUUAGAGUAAAAGGAUGGAUGAAAUAAUCAAAUAAGGAUAGGAGUUAAGUAGAUGUUGCUAUCUGAUAUUCUGACAAAAUGACUUCAAACUAAAAUUAAUCAGAAAAGAUUAAAGAGGGACUCUUCAUUCUGAUCAAGGAACUAGUUACUUGAGAAGACACUAUUUUCCUAAACAUACACCAAACUCUGGGGAACCCAAUUAAAAAAAAAAAAAGAAAGAAAAAAAAAGGGCUGGAUUUAAGUACACAUUAAUAUAAACUAACCAAUUGUACAUGAUUUAAAUUCUCUACUUUCUCCUAUCUAGGUCAUGUAAAAAAAAAAAAACAUUUAUUUCACAACGUGAAAUCAAAUGAACAUAUCUACAAAAUAGUCUACCCAAACCCCACAGAAUAGACAUAUUGAAAUUCCUUGAAUCUCCUCUGACCAAAGUACAAAUAAAUUUACAGCAAAGAAAUCUUCAGUAAAUACACUCGUGGAGAUUAAACAAUUCAUUACUGAUUGAUGAAUAUAGAAAUAAUGAAUGAUGAAU
rnacentral:lncRNA from 1 species